rnacentral:rRNA from 1 species
GGUGAAGGACUUACUCUUCGGAGUGAGAGCGUACACAGGUGCUGCAUGGCUGUCGUCAGCUCGUGUCGUGAGAUGUUGGGUUAAGUCCCGCAACGAGCGCAACCCUGCAUUCAGUUGCCAUCGGUAAGGCCGGGCACUCUGGAUGGACUGCCGGCGACAAGCCGGAGGAAGGUGGGGACGACGUCAAGUCAUCAUGGCCCUUAUGUCCAGGGCGACACACGUGCUACAAUGGCCGGCACAACGGGAAGCGAAGGGGCGACCCUGAGCGGAUCCCCAUAAAAGCCGGUCCCAGUUCGGAUUGCAGUCUGCAACUCGACUGCAUGAAGUUGGAAUCGCUAGUAAUCGUGGAUCAGCCAAGCCGCGGUGAAUACGUUCCCGGGCCUU